CCAAGGUCUCCAGCCAGCGUGUGGCAGAGCAAAAUCAAAACCAGAUCCUCUAACUUCUGGUUCCUGCAUCUGGCCUGCACUGCCCGCCGCCCCAGCACGAAUAGGGGCAGAGAAACCAGACAGGUGAGGGAAGAAACGAGGCCCUGGAUCAUGGAAGCAGACAAGCCUGAAGGGCCCUCAGGGAGGUAGUUUCCCACACAGAGCACCGAGAGCCUGGAAUAGUAGCUGGCGCAGAGGAGACCUGCCGUACCUCCCCACGGAAUGCACCACGUAUUCUUCGCGAGCCUGUCCCUCACCUUGUCAGAAUGCUGACCGAGCCGCUCUCCGUGCCAGCAGGGAUCAGGAGGGAUCUGGCAAGACCGCU